rnacentral:piRNA from 1 species
UGAAAGUAGAUUUGGAAGUCUAAAU